UACGUAGGUGGCAAGCGUUAUCCGGAUUUACUGGGUGUAAAGGGCGCGUAGGCGGGGAUACAAGUCAGAUGUGAAAUCUAUGGGCUUAACCCAUAAACUGCAUUUGAAACUGUAUCUCUUGAGUGUCGGAGAGGUAGACGGAAUUCCUAGUGUAGCGGUGAAAUGCGUAGAUAUUAGGAGGAACACCAGUGGCGAAGGCGGUCUACUGGACGAUAACUGACGCUGAGGCGCGAAAGCGUGGGGAGCAAACAGG
rnacentral:rRNA from 1 species